UUGCAACACAGACACGCCCCUUAACCUCACUGCAGAAAGGAGUGUGCUUUAUUUUUUUGUUUGUUUUUUGCAUUUGUCAAUAUUAGUUGAGCUUUUCCAGGUCAUCUUGUCGUGGGUCUCUUCCUGCGUCUCCAGCAGGACCAGAGGUGGUUGAGUCUGAUCCUGUUUCAGUGCCUGUGAAUUGGAAUAUUUAGAAGGGAAGCGUGAUCCUUCUACCUCACCAUUGAAAAGCUUUCAAAGCACAUUCAAGCUACAGUUUGAAACUCAACAGAGAGAAAGAUUUAUCACCUCAGGUUGAACCUAAACAUCUCCACCAUAAGGAUGCUGAGGUUGUGUGGGUUUGGUUUGGUCAUUUUGACUUUGGCCCAUGCCUUGUACCUUCCAGUCACCAAAUUUCCUGAGACUACAACCCCAGGAGGUGGAGAUAAUCCUUAUGGCUUCACUUGUCCUGAUGGAUGGACGAUGCACAGCACUCAGUGCCUCCUCUUUGUUCCUCAAAAUCUGACCUGGGAGGAAGCCAGGAGAAAUUGUUAUGCCAAAGGUCAACAUUCACUCGCUUCUGUCUUUACUGACACGCAAACUUGGGAGAUUUACAGGGAGAUGAAAAAAGCUGGGCACCUUGAUGGACGAGUUUGGGUUGGAGGCAGCAGAGCAACAGCGAAUUCGACUUGGUCCUGGGAGGAGAAUAUUUUCUCCCUUGGCAUCUCUGAGUUCUGUUCUGGAGAAUCGACCCACCAAGAGAACAACUGCUUGCAGCUCAUUCUUGAUGGGAGCGGCUCAGGAUGUGUAGAGGCCCUCCAGUGUGACAGAAAGCUCCCAUCUGUCUGUGGGAAAAUCCUCUAUUAGUCUGGAAAGAGCAACAAGUCCUCAGCAGACAUUGUCAAUGUGGCCAUCAGUCUGUCAUUUCUCAUUUUUUCUUCUGUGUUUCAGCUUAAACUUUACACAUUUUGGGGGGCUUGAACCCUGAGCUUUUAAUAACAGCAUCUAUUUUGGACACUUUAGAGAAAGUUACCUAGAACUUGUAACCUUUUUCCAAAUAAAAUCUUAAGCAUUGAAAAAAAA